GUUCCAAUGGCUCAGCGGGGUAGAGAAUGGUGCUAGCAACACCAGGGUUGUGGGUUCCAUUCUUUCUUGGUCCA
rnacentral:tRNA from 1 species